AUCUUGCUGGAGAUUUGUGUGUAACUGAGGUCUUCUAAAGUUUCUCACCACUUAAACCAAAGAAACUGAAAAAGAAGAGUAAAAGACUGUUCAGUUCAACCAGAUUUUUAAUUAAAAAAGUCCUACAUAUAGAGAUGAGCAUUUUCGGCGUCUGUAAUACUGCUGAUCUGUUCUGUCUAAACCUAAGCUGUAUCUUUGAGAAGAGUCUUUGGCCAUUUGGUCCCUUUCAAAGGAAGACUUGAAGGUGCUGCACUUCAUUUCAGGAAACACAAUUUGACUGGGCUCCAGGACUUCUGAUUUGUUCUCCUCAACCACUGGACAUCACAAAGGGCUGAAAGCCAAUCCUAAUUUUUUGCUGAAGAUUCAGUGGGGCAACAUAGAUUAAUGUCCUUUUGCCUCUGCUACCAGAACAUCUUGCAAAAGGAGACUAAAGGAAUGGAUGAAGAUAGAAUGAGCACUAGAUUCCCACAAACAUUGUCCACGGAGAUUCUGAAGUCCUAAACUGGAAGAGAGGAGGAUAUCUUGUGUGGGGCUCCAACCAGGUAUAGAUAAUGUGUGACACUGUAUUAUACUAAGGACAUAAUAAGGUAUAAUAGUCCAGUUCACAGGCAUCUCAACUUGGGCAAGUAGAAUUUAGUGAAAACAUCAGACCUUAAUUUCUUUGUGCAUACAGAAUGGUGAUUAGCAAUACCUUCUUAGGCAGUUUCUGUAAAUAUUUAUGAAGUGCAUGAGAUGCUAUAGCAACAAGCAACAUGCAAAUCUCAGGACAAAAUUUGUUUUGCUUUUGGUGUGGGAUAUGAUUAGCGUGCAAAAACAACGUGAGGGCUGAGAAAUUCCUCUGACCGCACAAUAGACAGUGAGGCAAAAGCAAAGUACUGUUUAAUAACAGCUAAUUUUGCAUACUGAAAUAAGUGGAGCCCUGUGAAGAAUGUCUUUGCUUUUUGUAUCACAGUAUCUCAAAGACUGAAGUAACAGAGGCACUAUGGAUUUUGCCUACAUUUCAAACAAGAAAUAUAUGUGAUGAUUCAGAUAGAACUGAUGGCAAAUGUGUAUCCUUUUUCCAGCUGUUAACCUCUGUACUGGUGCUCUAUAAUUCAUGGGUCCCAUAGAGGUUUUCAGGGCGAGAUAAAAUAUCAGAGUAUUGCAUUCAAGUGGACUACAAAGUGUUGAGUAUUUUGUUCUGCCUUCUGCUGGCUACUGACAGUGAAUUUUGUGUUCAGAAAGACUUCUCUUUAAAUCAACACUCCUUUACAAUAAUAUUGCCCCAAUGAGAGACUUUAAUAAUACAAGAAACCAGCAUGUUUAAAUACAUAAAAACCACAGUAGGGUAGAGAAACCACAACAACUCAGCAGGCCUGUGCAGGACCAGCAGCUACAGCAAUGAGAGGAGGAUGAAGAAGACUGCCAUAUAAAUUCAGCUUACAGAAAUUAUUUUGUUUGACUGAGGUUGCAAAAUGACAGUGAGAGAAGUGAUAAAAUGGACUUUCCAGGGUGAAGUAAUCCAGAAACCUUAGCAGUCUGAAAAUCAUUUUUUCUAGUCUGUCUCAAUCUUCUAAUAAUCUAAACCCUGGUCAAAGGGAUUAUUUGUGUGGUAGAUGGUUAAAGACUGAUUCUGGGAAAGUCAGAAUUAACAGAAAUGGUUAAAUAUUAGGAAAGAAAACACUUUGCAUUGUUUAAUUUGCUGUUUGCAUACCAUAAAAGAUAUCUUCUAUUUCAUACAACUUUCUUCAUAUUUCAAAUAUAGGUGUGAAGUUGUUUGCAUUCCUAAGCACUGUGUUAAUAGAGAGCUAAACAUUUCUCUGAUAUUGGCAAAGAAGUAUCCUGCACUGAUGCCAUGGACAAUGGAAAUUUUUUUCAAACUAACUGCAUGAUUAAACUGUACUUGUUUUCAUUUGAUUGUAGUGACCUUAAUACGCUUAAUACGCUGAAGUAUUUCUUUGCAAGUUGUUAAACUCCUGUUCUGUACUUUAUAUGCAGUUAUGUUCACCUGUUAGAAAGAUACCCAAUAUUUAUGAUUCUGUAGACAUCAGCAGUAGAGCUAGCAGAGAAGUCUCUUACUCAGAGCUGAAUUAAUAAACUGGCGUAGCAUCGGGGCCAUUGUGCUAGUGGAAGUUAUAUAUUUCAGAUAAGACACGUUGUUUUGCAUAACUGAACUAGUGAAUAGUAUUCAUGUUACCAGGACAUUGGAAUAAUUCAGUGAUGAGAAAGAAUAUUCCAUGGUCUCUAAUCCUACAUUAGAGGAAUCAGAUCUGUCUGUAGUCUCAGUAGAAGAAAAUCAGUAUUUCUGUAAUUUCAACAAAGGUAUUCCUGUGUUCAGUCAUAGAAGUACCUCAGUCUUAGAAACACCAAGGCAAAUCCAGUGUUCUUACUUCUUGCCUAG